rnacentral:tRNA from 1 species
GGUAAAAUGGCUGAGUGAAGCAUUAGACUGUAAAUCUAAGGAUAGAGGUUUAAUUCCUCUUUUUACCA